rnacentral:rRNA from 1 species
AUUGAACGCUGGCGGCAGGCCUAACACAUGCAAGUCGAGCGGUAACAGGAAGAAGCUUGCUUCUUUGCUGACGAGCGGCGGACGGGUGAGUAAUACUUGGGGAUCUGCCUGAUGGCGGGGGACAACCACUGGAAACGGUGGCUAAUACCGCAUAAUGCCAACGGGCCAAAGUGUGGGACCUUCGGGCCACAUGCCAUCGGAUGAACCCAAGCGAGAUUAGCUAGUUGGUGAGGUAACGGCUCACCAAGGCGACGAUCUCUAGCUGGUCUGAGAGGAUGAUCAGCCACACUGGGACUGAGACACGGCCCAGACUCCUACGGGAGGCAGCAGUGGGGAAUAUUGGACAAUGGGCGCAAGCCUGAUCCAGCCAUGCCGCGUGUGUGAAGAAGGCCUUCGGGUUGUAAAGCACUUUCAGUGGUGAGGAAGGCCUUGCAGUUAAUAGCUGCAAGGAUUGACGUAGCCACAGA